GAUGAACGCUGGCGGCGUGCUUAACACAUGCAAGUCGAGGGGCAGCGGGGUAGGAAGCUUGCUUUCUGCCGCCGGCGACCGGCGCACGGGUGAGUAACACGUAUGCAACCUGGCCGUGACAGAUGGAUAACCGGGAGAAAUCCCGCCUAAUACAACAUAAUGCCGGGAGGGGACAUCCCCUGCCGGCCAAAGGGGGCGACCCCGGUCAUGGAUGGGCAUGCGGCGCAUUAGGUAGUUGGUGGGGCAACGGCCCACCAAGCCGACGAUGCGUAGGGGUUCUGAGAGGAAGGUCCCCCACAUUGGAACUGAGACACGGUCCAA
rnacentral:rRNA from 1 species